rnacentral:rRNA from 1 species
UUGGACCUGAUAUCAGGCAAGAUUACCCGCUGAAUUUAAGCAUAUAACUAAGCGGAGGAAAAGAAACUAACAAGGAUUCCCCUAGUAACGGCGAGUGAAGCGGGAUGAGCUCAAGCUUAAAAUCUCUAUGCAAGUUUUGCAUGGCGAAUUGUAGUCUAUAGAAGCGAUGUCAGUGCGGCUAUUCGGGAUAAGUUCCUUGGAAAAGGACAGCAUCGAGGGUGAUACUCCCGUUUGUACCUGUGUAGCUUGCGCGUACGACACGUUUUCUUUGAGUCGCGUUGUUUGGGAAUGCAGCGCAAAGUAGGUGGUAAAUUCCAUCUAAAGCUAAAUAUUGGUGCGAGACCGAUAGCGAACAAGUACCGUGAGGGAAAGAUGAAAAGAACUUUGAAAAGAGAGUUAAAGAGUACCUGAAACUGCUGAAAGGGAAUCGAAUCGUAUCCAGUGUCUAUAAUCCAUAGCAUAUUUCAUUGGCGAGUUGAUGCGUGCAGUGUUAAUGACAGCGGCUUGUCUGCGUCUUGCGUUGUUCUGCGUUAGCUUGCUGGUGCCCUGUGUUGUGGUGAGACGUCAGAGUCAGUUCGUAUGCUGCGGGAAAUGGUUAGUUGAGGAGGUAGGUCAGAUGCUUGCGUUUGGCUGUUAUAUCUUGAUUAACUAGUAGUCGUGGUUGGGACUGAGGUGCCUACAACGUGCUUUAAAGUCUUAUGGAUGCUUAUCUGGUCGACUGCUUGGAUAGCUUGCUAUGCUCGUGGUUUGAUUGGGUGAUUGUGUUUGUGAGUAACUUUUGCCGUUCGGGACUUUGACGAAAUGGAGCGAUCCGUCCCGUCUUGAAACACGGACCAAGGAGUCUAACAUGUGUGCAAGUGUUAGGGUGUGGAAACCCCAGCGCGAAAUGAAAGUAAAGGAUAGCUUUAGCUGUCUGAGGUAGGAAACCUUUCCUUGUGAGGGGUGGCACUAUCGACCGAUCAUGAACCUUCGUGGUGAAAGAUUUGAGUAUGAGCACAUAUGUUGGUACCCGAAAGAUGGUGAACUAUGCCUGAGUAGGGUGAAGCCAGGGGAAACUCUGGUGGAAGCUCGUAGCGAUUCUGACGUGCAAAUCGAUCGUCAAACUUGGGUAUAGGGGCGAAAGACUAAUCGAACCAUCUAGUAGCUGGUUCCCUCCGAAAUUUCCCUCAGGAUAGCAGCAACUUAUUUACGAUAGUUUUAUGAGGUAAAGCGAAUGAUUAGAGGAUUUGGGGAAGAAACUUCCUCGGCCUAUUCUCAAACUUUAAAUCUGUAAGACCUGCAGGUUUCUUAAUUGAACUUGUGGAUGUGAAUAUCAAGUUGUUAGUGGGCCAUACCGGGUAAGCUGGUCUGGCGAUGCGGGAUGAACCGAACGCAAAGUUAAAGUGCCAAAGUACCCGCUCACCUAGAUACCAUAAAAGGUGUUGGUUCAUUUAGACAGCAGGACGGUGGCCAUGGAAGUCGGAAUCCGCUAAGGG